rnacentral:rRNA from 1 species
ACGGAGGGUGCGAGCGUUGUCCGGAAUCAUUGGGCGUAAAGGGCGCGUAGGUGGCCCGCUCAGCGUGCGGUGAAAGCCUGGGGCUCAACCCCGGGUCGGCCGUGCGAACUGGUGGGCUCGAGCACUGUAGAGGCGAGUGGAAUUCCGGGUGUAGCGGUGGAAUGCGUAAAGAUCCGGAAGAACACCAGUGGCGAAGGCGGCUCGCUGGGGUGUAGCUGACGCUGAGGCGCGACAGCGUGGGGAGCAAACAGGA